UACGUAGGGGGCAAGCGUUAUCCGGAUUUACUGGGUGUAAAGGGAGCGUAGACGGCUUUGCAAGUCUGAUGUGAAAGGCGGGGGCUCAACCCCUGGACUGCAUUGGAAACUGUGAGGCUUGAGUGCCGGAGAGGUAAGCGGAAUUCCUAGUGUAGCGGUGAAAUGCGUAGAUAUUAGGAGGAACACCAGUGGCGAAGGCGGCUUACUGGACGGUAACUGACGUUGAGGCUCGAAAGCGUGGGGAGCAAACAGGAUUAGAUACCCUGGUAGUCCACGCGGUAAACGAUGAAUACUAGGUGUUGGGUGUCACAGACAUUCGGUGCCGCAGCAAACGCAAUAAGUAUUCCACCUGGGGAGUACGUUCGCAAGAAUGAA
rnacentral:rRNA from 1 species